UACGUAGGGGGCAAGCGUUGUCCGGAAUCAUUGGGCGUAAAGCGCGUGUAGGCGGCCCGGUAAGUCCGCUGUGAAAGUCCAGGGCUCAACCCUGGAAUGCCGGUGGAUACUGUCGGGCUCGAGUCCGGAAGAGGCGAGUGGAAUUCCUGGUGUAGCGGUGAAAUGCGCAGAUAUCAGGAGGAACACCAAUGGCGAAGGCAGCUCGCUGGGACGGUACUGACGCUGAGACGCGAAAGCGUGGGGAGCAAACAGG
rnacentral:rRNA from 1 species